AACGAACGCUGGCGGCAUGCCUAACACAUGCAAGUCGAACGAGACCUUCGGGUCUAGUGGCGCACGGGUUCGUAACGCGUGGGAACCUGCCCUUAGGUUCGGAAUAACUCCCCGAAAGGGGUGCUAAUACCGGAUAAUGUCUUCGGACCAAAGAUUUAUCGCCUUUGGAUGGGCCCGCGUUGGAUUAGCUAGUUGUUAGGGUAAAAGCCUACCAAGGCGACGAUCCAUAGCUGGUCUGAGAGGAUGAUCAGCCACACUGGGACUGAGACACGGCCCAGACUCCUACGGGAGGCAGCAGUGGGGAAUAUUGGACAAUGGGCGAAAGCCUGAUCCAGCAAUGCCGCGUGAGUGAUGAAGGCCUUAGGGUUGUAAAGCUCUUUUAACCGGGAUGAUAAUGACAGUACCGGGAGAAUAAGCUCCGGCUAACUCCGUG
rnacentral:rRNA from 1 species